UGAUUUAUUACUGCAUUGCUUCCUCCCAGAGUACAAGCAUGUUGAAUUUCUUCUCAUUGCAAAGAAGGUCAAUACCUGGUCAAGCAGAACAUGACAGAACAUUGAUGGUCUCAAAAGGAAAAAAAAAGAGAGAGAGAGAUUUGGGCAUGUGCACUGAACUUCUGAACUGAAGGUACUUUGCUUAUGGAAUGAAAGGGAGAACAGAGAUCAAAUUUACUUCCAAAAUCAAUACUUGGUCAUUUAAAAACAAAGAAAGAUAUCUAUUUCUACAGCAAUUAAAAUGACCAUUACCACAAGCACCAUUGGCAACUGGAAUGGAGGGAAGGUCUUUAUCUGCUUCUGGAUCUAAGCAUAAUGGAGCUGUGCCUGACUCUUCUUUCCCUCCAAAGCCCGGACAGUGGCAGUGGACAUGGAAGGAGGCCCUUUCAUCUGCUUGUAGGCCUAGGCAUGAUGGAACUACUAUAUUUAUUUGAAUAUAAUACACACCUUUUUUGGCUAAAUUAUGUUGCCAAAAUCAGCAUAUGAGCAAUACAUUUGCGUAACAGAUAAAGCAAAAUGGGAUAAAGCUCCCUUCAGGAGCACCAGCCAGAUUUGGGAAACCAAGGGAAGAUGGGAGAUGGUUUGAGAGGUGAGGAGAAAGCCCACGUGGCAAAUGGGGAGAGAGAAGCCAAGAGAUGGCUUGGGAGCCAAGGAAGAAGGGGAGGGGUGUGCGCCUGAGAGAGAAGUCAGGAGAUGGCUUGGGAGGCGGGAGGAAGCCCAUAUGGGAAGUGGGCUUUUUGUAAGAUAUAUAGAAUCCUGGAAUUUGGUAAGUUUGGUAAGGCAGCACCACCCUUUGGCUGAGAAAACUCAAGACCUUUUAAAAUGACAGCCCCUAGGAUUCCACAGCAUUGAGCCAGGGCAGUGAAAGUGGUAUUAAGCUGCAUUUAUUUUACAGCAUAGAUAGAUUCAGCCAAGGACGCUGAGGUGGGACAAACAGGAGAGGUCCCUUAAAGGAAGGGUUACCCAUUUCUCUGGCUUUACUUUCAGUUGCUAGAAGCUUUGGUGGUCUAAUACUUUUUGUUUUAAAAGGAGAAAUCCUAAGCACACAGCAACACUAACACAUCCUUUUUUGGGAACAAUUACAAGGAGUGCACUUUCCAGCAUUGCACAUUAUAUUAGCUAGCAAAUACUUCUUUUAGUUCCAGGGUUUUGAAAAUUGAGGUGUGCAUUACAUUUGAUGGCACACUAGAUUAGAGUAAAUACAAGUAUGUCUGCUUCUUCUCUCCCUCUGAGGCCAGGUUACCCACAAUACCCAACCUUUAUUUUUCAGGACUCCUCAUUUGGUAGAUCCAAUUCCCCAAGAUUGCUUUGAAUUCCCAGUUGUUCAUUUAUUAAAUAUCACUUGGAUUGGCAUGGUCCCCACUCAAUUAAAAUAACGCUGGUGAUAAUGGAAGUGCAAGGAAUACAGCAAGAAGAAGGUUUGAAUAACAAACUGCUAAUCUGCACUCAAAAAUAUUCAGCAUAACUUUCACAUUGUUUUGUUUAUGAAAACACCUUGAAUAGAUCAGAGAUCCAGCUGAGCAGGAAUGAAGUUGGUUCCUCAGGCUGAGCUCUCAACCUGCUACAUCACUUUUAUGAGAUUUACUAAUCAUGGUGGUAUACAUCACAUCUAGCAUUUGUCUUUGAUAGCUGUUUGAAAAGUUACUUUCUGGAUACAACUUCCAGUAUCCCACCUAUAUGACAUGGAUACUGUAAAGUGAUAUACAUAUUUUACAUGUAUAAAUUUUUCCUUUGCUAUUUCUAAUAAUCCUUUUAAAUAAAAAUAUUGGAAAAAGUGCACAUUUUUAAAACAUGACUUAAUAAUAAUAAUAUCUUCCAAUCUAUCACUAUUUUUGCAACUACAAGGAUUUCACAACUAAUUUAUUUUUAGUUGCACACCAGCCAAGCAACUAUAAUUUAUUUUGGUAAUCAAGUUCAUCUAGUAUUAGUCGUGAGGGGAAGAGGCUUACUUACACCACCAAUGGGGUUUUGAGAUGGCUCAAUAUUCCUAGAACCAUAUUUCUUCAAUUGUAAGACACCAUUGUAAGACAUACCCUAAUUUCAGUACUACUACCAACAACAAAAAUUCAUAAGAUACUACUAAGACGCACACCAUUUUUAGAGAUGCUCAUAUAGGAAAAAGUAUGUUUAGAAUUGAAGAAAAACAGCAUAUGCCAAGGUAGUGAGUGGGUUAGUUAUAAACAUAAUUUUAAACUAGUCAUGAUAUUAGCGAUUUUGUGGCUACUUUUAAUUGUAAUGUUUUCACAAGGACACAGUUUUCAAAACCCUUUGUACAUCCCAGGAAACUUAAGAGAACACCUUUAGAAAAUUAACAGAGGUAAAAUAAUUACUGAAAGCAUCAUUUUAUAGAUUAUUAUUUCUUCUGCAAAGAGAGAAUGCAUCUUUAAUCCCAAGCAAAAGCUCUUUAAGGUUUAUGCACUCUAUAAACCUUUCACUGAGAAUUUAAAAUAUAAGUUACUAAUGCAAUAAAUGCCCUAACAAAUAUAUCAGAUUUUUCACUUAAUGCUUUUUACAGGCUUAAACCAAACUGAGUGAAAGAAAAUCACCUUUUACAGACUGACUCUUAAAGGAAGAAUGUCUUUUUGUUAUGCUUUUUAAAAAAGGCAUGGUGGAUUUAUAUCAACUUCACUGAAUCUUGGGCAUGAUAAAAGGAAAAAAUAUAUAGUGCUGUAGUUACCAUUCUACAGCAUGCUUUCUUCGCAUUUUUAUUUUCUUAGUGCCUGGACAUGAGCCAAGGAAGGGGGGGCGGGGAAAAAAUAAAAACUCCAUAGGAAUAUUAGAAGUAGCACACCAUGCAGUCAUGAUUGCCCCCCACCCCCUUAUUCUUCAGCAACUUCAAUUGUUGGUUUUCAAAAGAAACUAAAAAAAAACAUUGGAUUUCGAAUCUAUCAUGUGAAAAUGCUGCAUGUAUAAUAAAGCCAUCCUGUUAAAUCA